CUAGUUGGUAGGGUAAAAGCCUACCAAGGCAUCGAUCAGUAGCUGGUCUGAGAGGACGACCAGCCACACUGGAACUGAGACACGGUCCAGACUCCUACGGGAGGCAGCAGUGGGGAAUUUUGGACAAUGGGCGAAAGCCUGAUCCAGCAAUGCCGCGUGAGUGAAGAAGGCCUUCGGGUUGUAAAGCUCUUUUGUCAGGGAAGAAACGGUGAGAGCUAAUAUCUCUUGCUAAUGACGGUACCUGAAGAAUAAGCACCGGCUAACUACGUGCCAGCAGCCGCGGUAAUACGUAGGGUGCAAGCGUUAAUCGGAAUUACUGGGCGUAAAGCGUGCGCAGGCGGUUUUGUAAGUCUGAUGUGAAAUCCCCGGGCUCAACCUGGGAAUUGCAUUGGAGACUGCAAGGCUAGAAUCUGGCAGAGGGGGGUAGAAUUCCACGUGUAGCAGUGAAAUGCGUAGAUAUGUGGAGGAACACCGAUGGCGAAGGCAGCCCCCUGGGUCAAGAUUGACGCUCAUGCACGAAAGCGUGGGGAUCAAACAGGAUUAGAUACCCUGGUAGUCCACGCCCUAAACGAUGAUUACUCGACAUACGCGAUACACUGUGUGUGUCUGAGCGAAAGCAUUAAGUAAUCCACCUGGGAAGUACGACCGCAAGGUUGAAACUCAAAGGAAUUGACG
rnacentral:rRNA from 1 species